rnacentral:rRNA from 1 species
GACGAACGCUGGCGGCGUGCCUAAUACAUGCAAGUCGAACGAACCGCGACUAAGUGCUUGCACUAAGUCAAGGUGAGUGGCGAACGGGUGAGUAACACGUGGGUAACCUACCUCAUAGUGGGGGAUAACAGUCGGAAACGACUGCUAAUACCGCAUAGGACAUAGGAUCACAUGAUCCAGUGAGGAAAGGUGGCGCAAGCUAUCGCUAAGAGAUGGACCCGCGGUGCAUUAGCUAGUUGGUAGGGUAAAGGCCUACCAAGGCGAUGAUGCAUAGCCGACCUGAGAGGGUGGUCGGCCACAUUGGGACUGAGACACGGCCCAAACUCCUACGGGAGGCAGCAGUAGGGAAUCUUCCGCAAUGGACGCAAGUCUGACGGAGCAACGCCGCGUGAGUGAAGAAGGUCUUCGGAUCGUAAAGCUCUGUUGUUAGAGAAGAACAGCGCAUAGAGUAACUGCUAUGCGUGUGACGGUAUCUAACCAGAAAGCCACGGCUAACUACGUG